GAUGAACGCUAGCGACAGGCCUAACACAUGCAAGUCGAGGGGCAGCACGAAGUAAGCUUGCUUACUUUGGUGGCGACCGGCGCACGGGUGCGUAACAGGUGUGCAAUCUGUCCAUAAUCGGGGAAUAGCCCAGCGAAAGUUGGAUUAAUGCUCCAUGUGAGUUUUAGAGGCAUCUCUUUAAUUUGAAACGUAAGGAUUAUGGGUGAGCACGCUUCUGAUUAGGUAGUUGGUGAGGUAACGGCUCACCAAGCCGACGAUCAGUAGGGGUUCUGAGAGGAAGUUCCCCCACAUUGGAACUGAGACACGGUCCAAACUCCUACGGGAGGCAGCAGUGAGGAAUAUUGGUCAAUGGGCGCAAGCCUGAACCAGCCAAGUCGCGUGAAGGAUGAAGGUUCUAUGGAUUGUAAACUUCUUUUGUCUGAGGGUAAAAAAGCGGACGUGUCCGUUCUUGCAAGUAUCAGACGAAUAAGCAUCGGCUAACUCCGUGCCAGCCGCCGCGGUAAUAC
rnacentral:rRNA from 1 species